rnacentral:lncRNA from 1 species
CACAGCUUCGUUUUCUUCCCGCCACUGUUCCGCUAGAAGAUUCCAUUGCAAUAUUUCUAGCCUCUUUGAGCCAGCACAUAGUGUAUAUCAAAAUCUGACACUGAUUGAGCUUGGGAACAUCACCCAUGCUCUGCACAAGAAGCUGUGCACAGGAUAAGU